rnacentral:rRNA from 1 species
UAACAUCGCGUCGCCCCCAACACCCCGUGCACCGUAUGGUCCCGGUGGUAGCUGGGGGCGGAGACUGGUCUCCCGUGCAGUGCGCGGCUGGCCUAAAUGCGAGUCACUCGCGACGGACGCGACAACAAGUGGUGGUUGAUUACCUCAACUGAAGUUCUGUCGUU